UGGCUGUGAGGAUGACUCUUCAAAUGAGUGCCAGUGAUCACUUCAUACGCUAUUCUGAGCCAACA
ensembl:snoRNA small nucleolar RNA, C/D box 54